GUAAAUUGCAUUGGCUAUCUGAUGUAGUACAAAAUGUAAUGUAUCAGCCUUUGAGCAUAUUCAAAUUAAUGAGCAUGUAAAGCGAUCAAAAGGACAUGUAGAUAUUUAGAAUACUAAAAUUACAACGCUUGACCGAUUUGCCAAGUUAAGACAGGAAUUAUCAUGCUUUGCUUGUUCGUUUUAAAGUUCCCAGACCUCAGUGAAAGUCCACCUGGGAAUGACAGAGGACAGAAUCAUCAAAAGUGUCCAGGAGCAACUGUCUGAUCAUAAUAUCCUGUCCUCUUGCCCACCUGAGCUGACUGUUGGUCUUAUCAAGGUGGUGGUCGAACAGCUUAACUCUGCCCUCUCUGCGACCAUCAGCAGAGCCAUUUCAGGGCGGUCCUCCCCUAUUUCUUCUGGUACCCAGGCCGCUGAACAAAUGGUCAACAUGGUCCAGAAAUGUUUUGAUGAUCACACCACCCCAGAGGACCAGAGCUCUACCUCUGUAUUAGAGUCAUGCAUUCCACCUGCAACAGAAGAAGUGAUGACUGUUAUCGCAGAGAUGGUGGGUGAAUUGGAAAAAGAAGAUCCGGAAUUGGCUAAGGUUUUUCGAGAAGUGGCUGUGAAAGUUAAAAUGUUGGCAUCUGGCAGUGACCUUGUAGUGGAGCACCUGGAUGUUGAAGACUCUCCUGUUCCAGAGGAGCUGAACAUAAUAUGUACAUCUUGCAAAGCAAUGAUGCAAAAUCUUGGCACUCUGUUUAGUGUGAAGUUCAAGACCAAAGCCUCAAAGGCUGUGAGUGAAAUUCUUGUGAGCAGGUUAAUGAGCGAUAUCUCUGGUAUGGUUCAACCUUCUCAUUCGUUUAGUACCACUCCAAGCUUGAUGAAUGCAUCUAGCCCAUCUGACAGGAUCCUUGAUUCUGCGGCCACUGAGCUCAUACAGAUCAAAGUAGAAUCUGAGACAUCAAAAAUAAUUGAUAACUUUGUUGAAGAUGUCAAGGACAUUGUGCAGUAUGCUGAAUUAGAUCAGCCAACAAGCACCCAGAGAGAUACCCAAGUGGGACACUGUACGACAAAGCGGAAACCCUUCCGUGCAGCUCGUAGACUCUGCGAGAGACUUCAGGCAAAGCUGGAGACAUUGUUCCUCAGAAUGGGUGGAGCUCCAGUCCAAGGGGAAGAACUUAUGGAAAAAGCUGACUCCAGUGCUGUGCUUCUGGAGCAUACUGACUCCAGUGAUCUGCCUGUUUCAAUCCUGAGCUUGCCUUCCCCAUGUAGGAGUGAAUCCCCUAUAUCAGAACGUAGUUCAUCUUCUUUAUCUGAUGGAUGUGAUUCAACUGACUCUGUAGGAGAGAAAACACCAGAGCAACCUGAAACCAGUAAGAGUGAGGCAAUACUACAAGUGGUCAACUCAACAGAACUUGGUUCUCUCCGUAAAUGCCAAAGUGAGAACUCUCCACCAUUACUGUCUCUCUGUGAUUCCAACAUGGUCCCCUGCACCAAAGAGGUCUUGUUCCAGAUUGUGACCAUGUAUAGGUCAGAGGUGGCAGAUUUGGAAUGCACAUCAUCUGUUGCAGAGGGUUCCUCUUCCAACUCCCUUGAAGUCUGUGGCUUUUUGGACAGUGUCAUGUCUUAUCUAGAAGACAUGCCUGUGUCUGGUUCUUCAUGGUUGGAAGGAUUGAGAGAUACUCCAGCCUCAGUCAUUGAGAAACUCUCCAGUGAGGAGUUCCAGAUGAACGCUACCAACGAAGGGCGAAAAAUACUGAUCAAAUCAGUCAGUAGCUUUCCCAGCAAAGUCAGUUCCAGCCAGACAGAUUCUCAGAUGUUGCCAGCAAAAUCAACAAAGCAGUGAAUGUGGUGAGGAACUGAUCUAUCAAGCGCCACAGCGUUCUUCCUCCUCGUUGUCAUCCUCAUCUGCCAGAUCAAAGAAGUCAGAGUGGGAAUUUUCACUCCCUGGCACUCCCAUCUCUUCUGAUUUACCAGAGUGUAUUACUCAGCCCAUUGUGAGAUGCUCAGUCAUCGACAUGGGCAAAUCUACUAAGCCAAAAACAUUGGUGUGUGAUGCCAGGGAAAGCAUGUCUGCAAUAGUGGAUACCAUCAUAAAGGAGGUACAUCCAGAGGAAGAAGGGGAGGUUGCAUUCCACCCUGAUCUAACAGCUGCAAUAGCAAGACUGGAGGAGCUCAUAUCUCAGGGUAGGAUUGGUGCUCUCUCACGUGAUCUUACUCACCAAGUCAACCGCAUCAUUUCUGAGAGCAACUUGACCCCUCUGGUUCUGACAGUGGCGGCUGGAAAGAGUGCAUCCGAUACAGUCCUUACUGAGCUGAAGAGGAAUGACAAGACGGUGGGGAAGCCCACAGCUUACAUGCUGGUUCAGCUUUUUGCAGAGGAGUCUGUGAAGCGCCUCGUGCUUCCUAGCCUUGUGCCCUCUACAGCUUCAAUGAGUUUGGCUCAGGGAGUUAGUGUGCCGGCUAGCGUAUCUGAAGAUAGGAUUUCAUGUUCUUUUUCUACAUCAGCAUUUAGUGACACAGUCAGCCUGUUUACCAAAGUAAUGGUAAGCCAGGUCAUGGACUCUGUGGUUUCUGAUGCACAAAGCAGAGGGUCAUCUCCAACCGGAACUGUAACUGAUAUAGGCAGUCUACUGAGUGGUAAGUCCUACCCUCUGCCAUCUUUCUCCGCCAUCAGCAUGACAACAAGUGGGACCUCCAAUGCUGCACGAGGCUUUGAGGCCAACAUAGAUGCUGAGGAAAGGGAUACCAUCAGUUGUUUCGGUGUACCUCAGAGCAUUGUUUGUGAUCAGAAUUCAACCAGCCCGGAUGUUGCCUCGCUUUCAACCCCAUCCACUGACAACUUAGUCGGUGAUGAUGACUUCACCGGCCUCAUCAGCAUGUUAGUGGUGAGACUUCUGUCAAAAAUCCAAACCCAAACUGAUCUGUACCCAACUGACGUCACACGCACGUCACAAGACCUGAUUCCAAAAGUUAUAGCUGCCUUCUGUGCAUGGUCAGGCUGCUCUGAGACCCAAGCUUAUCCCAAGAACCUGAAGAGUCACAAAGUAUACAGCACCGUCUACAAACAUCUGUUGAAGGAGUUUGGCUCAGAGAAAAUACUCCAACUGGCCGUGUCGACUCAGGACUCCACAUUCAAUAGGAUUCUUGUGAAGUCAUUGAGCAAGGAGCUUCUCCACAGUUGUAACGAGGCAUCAAGAGCAGCCUCAAGAACAUCUUUCGAAGCCACCAGGCCAGAAGCUCUUCUCAUGGCUGAAGAUGUGAAGGCUACCAGAGGGAAGCUGUCUUUCCUACAAAGGCUUGCCAGACUGAAAUUCGACUUAAAGCCAUUCAUGAUGGGAAACAAGAAGGAUUCCAAGAAGAAUUCCCGCCAUUCUGAAUCCAAAGACCAGACUACUGCUGAAGAUAUCAUAUUGGCACAUCCUGGACUCCCAGAGGGUCUUCCCUCCACCUCUCAACAGGAGAAGCCUCGCAAACGUCCCCUUCUAAUCAGGAUGUUUUCCACCAUCUCCAUAGGCCUAUCCAAGCCAUUCAAACGGUUUUCAAAGCAAGCUUAAUACAACAAUUUCCUUUAAUACAGUAAUAUUUGCAUUGAA